rnacentral:rRNA from 1 species
CCUACGGGAGGCAGCAGUAGGGAAUAUUGCUCAAUGGGCGAAACCCUGAAGCAGCAACGCCGCGUGGAGGAUGAAUGUUUUCGGAUUGUAAACUCCUUUUUUUAGAGAAGUUAAUGACGGUAUCUAACGAAUAAGCACCGUCUAAACCCGUUACAGCAGCCGCGGUAAUACGGAGGAUGCAAGCGUUACUCGGAAUCACUGGGCGUAAAGAGAGCGUAGUCGGGUUAGCAAGUCAGUUGUGAAAUCGUAUGGCUUAACCAUAGAACUUCAUUUGAAACUGGUAUUCGAGAGUAUAGGAGAGGUAGGGGGAAUUCUUGGUGUAGGGGUGAAAUCCGUAGAGAUCAAGAAGAAUACCGAUUGCGAAGGCGACCUGCUAGAACAUAACUGACACUGAUGCGCGAAAGCGUGGGGAGCAAACAGGAUUAGAUACCCUGGUAGUC